UAAUUCAAUUGGUUUUACUUAAAUUUUAAUUUUUAAUUUUUAUGUUGUUCUAUUAAAUUUAUAUUGGGAUUAGCUUAUUUAAAUAAUUUUAAAAAUUUAUUUUUAUUUAUGGUUUGUAUGAUUUGAAUUUUCUUUCAUUAAAAUAAUUUAAUAUUUUUUUUUAAUUUUAAUUUUAUUUUUAUUUAUUUUAUAUUUUAUAUUGAAAAAUUUGCUUAAAUUUGUUUUAUAUUUAUUUUGAUUAAAUUAGUAAAUAUGAUUAUUUUUUUUUAAUAUUUUUAUUUAUGUUAUUAAAAGGAACUAGGCAAAAAUUGUUUCUGCCUGUUUAAUAAAAACAUGUCUUUUUGUAUUAUAAUAUAAAGUUUGAUCUGCUCAAUGAUUGUUUAAAUUGCCGCGGUAUUUUAACUGUGCAAAGGUAGCAUAAUAAUUAGUUUUUUUAUUGAGAACUGGAAUGAAUGAUUUGACAAGAAACAUACUGUCUCUUAAUAAUUUUUAUUUAAUUUAACUUUUUAGUUAAAAGGCUGAAAUUUAUCUUAAAGACGAGAAGACCCUAUAGAGUUUGAUUUUAUUUUAUAUUUUUUAUUUAGUAUUUAUUUUUAAUUUUAAAAUAAAAUUUUAUUGGGGUGAUUUAAAGAUUUAAUUAACUCUUUUUUUAUUUGUCAUUUAUUUUUGAAUAUUUAAUCUUUAUUUUUGAAUUUAAAAUUAAAUUACCUUAGGGAUAACAGCGUUAUUUUUCUUUAAAGUUCUUAUUAAAAGAAAAGAUUGCGACCUCGAUGUUGGAUUAAAAUUUAAUUUUGGUGAAGUAGCUUUAGUUUUUAGUCUGUUCGA
rnacentral:rRNA from 1 species